rnacentral:rRNA from 1 species
GUGCAAGCGUUAAUCGGAAUUACUGGGCGUAAAGCGCACGCAGGCGGUUUGUUAAGUCAGAUGUGAAAUCCCCGGGCUCAACCUGGGAACUGCAUCUGAUACUGGCAAGCUUGAGUCUCGUAGAGGGGGGUAGAAUUCCAGGUGUAGCGGUGAAAUGCGUAGAGAUCUGGAGGAAUACCGGUGGCGAAGGCGGCCCCCUGGACGAAGACUGACGCUCAGGUGCGAAAGCGUGGGGAGCAAACAGGAUUAGAUACCCCAGUAGUCCUAGCCGUAAACGAUGGAUACUAGGUGUUGUCUGUAUCGACCCGGACAGUGCCGUAGCUAACGCGUUAAGUAUCCCGCCUGGGGAGUACGCACGCAAGUGUGAAACUCAAAGGAAUUGACGGGGGCCCGCACAAGCGG